GCUGGGCGCGGUGGCGCGUGCCUGUAGUCCCAGCUACUCGGGAGGCUGAGGUGGGAGGAUCGCUUGAGCCCAGGAGUUCUGGGCUGUAGUGCGCUAUGCCAAUGGGGUGUCCCGCACUAAGUUCGGCAUCAGUAUGGUGACUUCCCGGGAGCGGGGGACCACCAGGUUGCCUAAGGAGGGGUGAACCGGCCCAGGUUGGAAAUGGAGCAGGUCAAAAUGGAGCAGUUCCCUUGUUGAUCAGCAGUGGGAUUGCGCCUGUGAAUAGCCACUGCACUCCAGCCUGGGCAACAUAGCGAGACCCCGUCUCU
rnacentral:SRP_RNA from 1 species